GAUGAAGAACGCAGCGAAAUGCGAUAAGUAAUGUGAAUUGCAGAAUUCAGUGAAUCAUCGAAUCUUUGAACGCACCUUGCGCUCCUUGGUAUUCCGAGGAGCAUGCCUGUUUGAGUGUCAUUAAAUUCUCAACCUUAUUGGCUUUUGCUGAUAAUGGCUUGGACUUGGGGGUCUUUUUGCUGGCUUUCAUUAGUCUGCUCCCCUUAAAUGUAUUAGCCGGUGCCCCGCAGUGGAACCGUCUAUUGGUGUGAUAAUUAUCUACGCCGUGGACGUCUGCUAUAAUGGGUUUGCGCUGCUUCUAACCGUCUCUCGGGACAACACAAAUGACAAUUUGACCUCAAAUCAGGUAGGACUACCCGCUGAACUUAAGCAUAUCAAUAAGCGGAGG
rnacentral:misc_RNA from 1 species